CAGGUAUCUAUUGGAAGAGAUGAGCUCAGGGAGCCUGAAAUACUAAGGAUUCAGUAACCCAUCAACAGCAUAACCUAGAUGUGGAGUCUCUAGCAAUUUUCCAGAUAGCAUCAAAGGACCACAGCUCAGUGCCGGAGUCCACCUUCCAGACUCGGAUCAUACCUUUCAUGUCAGCUGUUGCCACCAUUGAGCCGUCAUGGCUGAAGCCGACACUUAAAACGGUGUCGGUGUGACCUGGACAAGAUUUAAAUUUUCGAAUUUUGAGAUUUGGUACAUUUUAAAAACAACACUGACUUCAGGAAAAGUGUAAUGAGAAACACUCAUGACUACCUCUGCACUGAAAGUAGAUGGAACCUUCCUGUGUGUUCCAAACUAAGGCUUGAUCAUCUUGUCCACCCGUCACAGCAAUGUUGCUGAAGACUGGGUUAACUCUUGUACAGAU